CUACGAAUUACAUUGGUUUAGGGCUGAGCAUUCGGUUCAAACUGAACUGAACCGAACCGAAUCAUCAAAAUCGAAUUAAUCGAAUUAUCAUAUUUUAGAAACUGGACUGAACCGAACCCGAAAUGAAUAAAAAACCGAAUCGAACUGAACCACUCUAUUUUGGUUCGGUUCGGUUCGAACUGAUUGGUUUUGAGUUUUGAUGGGUUUUUUAAUUUA
rnacentral:misc_RNA from 1 species